AAGCAAAUGGCACAGGCCCAAUCCAUGUGGGGUUAGUUUUGCCUUGCUUUAAAAAAAAAAAAAAAAAAAAAGAAAUAUAUAUAUAUAAAAAACAAAUUACAAAUUGCGUUUUACCCCAGCCAGAUUCAUGACUCUGCUGAUUAUUAUUCUCAGAUUUCUGCUAUUGCUAUGUUGCCCCCCCCCCUUUUUUUUUUUUGGAUUACUACACUUGAUGGAGAGCAGAGAAGAGAGUGCAGAGGAGGAGUAGUGCAGGUCCUGGGAGGUACGAGAUUUCCCUGCCAACAAAAUCAACUACAAACAACACGGUGCUGGUUUGCAGAAGAGCAAAGAGGAAAAACAGCGGAGUCAUUUCUAACUUCAUCCUGCUCAUCAUCAGGCACAUCAUCGCCCUAAGGCUGCCGCUGCCAAGGAGAAGAGGGAUCAUGAUGGCCAUAGAUAAAGGGUGGGUGUGGGUGAAGGGACAAUAUUAUCUCACCUAGAGACUCAAACACGACUUGAUCCCCCGGUCCCGACUCUCCCCACCCCUCAGGGUGAGAGUCCUACAUUCCCCAACACCCCCGUGUCUCCCUGGGCUGCUGAUCCCCCGGGGAUCCUCCUCUCUCUGCCGCUGCUGCUGCGCUCCGCAGGGAGCCCGAUUUAGCUGGGGCUAGGCAUGGCCGACACUUUUCACUUCCCCUCGGGGCCCCUCCCUACACAAGACGGCGGCGGGCGGCCUGUGCCCAGGGCAGCGAGGCACCGACUCAAUGGCCUGGGGUUCCCCCUCUCACUUCAUGGUAGCGACUUUACAGACAUGGAGAGGCCAGGGGGUUGCUUUGAAAAGAGAUUUUGGGGUGGGGAGGAAGGUGCAAAUUUUUACCAAUUUUUCCCCGUUUUUUUCGAAAAUUUGGUGGCAGACUUUUUGCAAAAAACCCCAAAAACAAAAAAACCCAAAUACUCUUUGUAGGUUAUUUUUGCCUCACUCCAGCCAUUUUUUCUAGGGGGUUGGGGCUGUUCAAAAGGUUUUAACCCAAAAUAAAGUCGUCGGACUAGGUUAAAAAACCCACCGAUUUUUUUCCUCCCCUCUCAAAAAAA